GCUUGGAUAGCUCAGUUGGUUAGAGCAUGGUGCUGAUAACGCCAAGGUUGUAGGUUCGAUCCCCAUUUGGGACA